rnacentral:rRNA from 1 species
UACGUAGGUGGCAAGCGUUGUCCGGAAUUAUUGGGCGUAAAGCGCGCGCAGGCGGUCCUUUAAGUCUGAUGUGAAAGCCCACGGCUCAACCGUGGAGGGUCAUUGGAAACUGGGGGACUUGAGUACAGAAGAGAAGAGUGGAAUUCCACGUGUAGCGGUGAAAUGCGUAGAGAUGUGGAGGAACACCAGUGGCGAAAGCGA